UGUUAAUUGUUAUUAGUUUUGACAUAUUUAAAAUGGUGGAAAAAAUAGGGGAUUUGCAUAAUUUUAUACAUUUUAAGUUACUUGCUCCAGAUGGGAUUAAGAAAUGUCAAAAUAUAAAUAAUGAAGAAAAAAAUGGACAAACCAUUAUUUUAGAUAAAUAUAAUUCAAGAGAUGUUUCAAUAAU